UACGUAGGUGGCAAGCGUUGUCCGGAUUUACUGGGCGUAAAGAGCGCGCAGGCGGUCGUUCAAGUCGCGUGUGAAAGCCCCCGGCUCAACUGGGGAGGGUCACGCGAUACUGAUCGACUCGAAGGCAGGAGAGGGAAGUGGAAUUCCCGGUGUAGUGGUGAAAUGCGUAGAUAUCGGGAGGGACACCAGUGGCGAAGGCGACUUCCUGGCCUGUUCUUGACGCUGAGGCGCGAAAGCUAGGGGAGCAAACGGG
rnacentral:rRNA from 1 species